UGAGAUUAUUUGCAAUAGUGUUUUGGA
rnacentral:piRNA from 1 species